rnacentral:rRNA from 1 species
AGAGGUGAUGCAUAGCCGAAUGAGGCGAAUUCAGUGAUCCUAUGCUGCCGAGAAAAGCCUCUAGCGAGCUGGUACACGGCCCGUACCCCAAACCGACACAGGUGAUCAGGUAGAGAAUACCAAGGCGAUCGAGAUAACUAUGGUUAAGGAACUCGGCAAAAUGCCCCCGUAACUUCGGGAGAAGGGGGGCCCGGACCCUGACAUGCCCAAGCGGCGUGGAGGGGGUAAGGGUCGCAGAGACCAG